GAUUAACGCUGGCGGCGUGCCUAACACAUGCAAGUCGAACGAGGUAGCAAUACCUAGUGGCAGACGGGUGAGUAACGCGUGGUCAACCUACCGUUGAGUGGGGGAUAACUAGCCGAAAGGUUAGCUAAUACCGCAUACGAGACUCGGGGGCAUCCCUGGGUCUUAAAAGGAGCAAUCCGCUCGAUGACGGGACCGCGUCCCAUUAGCUAGAUGGUGGGGUAAUGGCCUACCAUGGCACCGAUGGGUAGCUGGUUUGAGAGAGCGACCAGCCACACUGGGGACUGAGAAACGGCCCAGACUCCUACGGGAGGCAGCAGUGAGGAAUUUUCCGCAAUGGGCGAAAGCCUGACGGAGCGACGCCGCGUGUGGGAAGAAGGCCUU
rnacentral:rRNA from 1 species